UCCCAUAUGGUCUUGCGGUUAGGAUUUCUGGUUUUCACCCAGAAUGCCAGGGUUCGACUCCCGUUAAGGGAA
rfam:Nematostella vectensis strain CH2 x CH6 NEMVEscaffold_510_Cont29076, whole genome shotgun sequence.